rnacentral:rRNA from 1 species
GACGAACCGUGCGAACGUUGUUCGGAAUCACUGGGCUUAAAGGGCGCGUAGGCGGACACGCAAGUCCGGGGUGAAAUCUUUCGGCUUAACCGGAAAACAGCCUUGGAUACUGCGGGUCUAGAGGGAGGUAGGGGCAGCUGGAACUUCCGGUGGAGCGGUGAAAUGCGUUGAUAUCGGAAGGAACGCCGGUGGCGAAAGCGAGCUGCUGGACCUCUUCUGACGCUGAGGCGCGAAAGCCAGGGGAGCAAACGGG